rnacentral:rRNA from 1 species
CAGUCGCCGCGGGAAUACGAAGGGGGCUAGCGUUGCUCGGAAUCACUGGGCGUAAAGGGUGCGUAGGCGGGUCUUUAAGUCAGGGGUGAAAUCCUGGAGCUCAACUCCAGAACUGCCUUUGAUACUGAAGAUCUUGAGUUCGGGAGAGGUGAGUGGAACCGCGAGUGUAGAGGUGAAAUUCGUAGAUAUUCGCAAGAACACCAGUGGCGAAGGCGGCUCACUGGCCCGAUACUGACGCUGAGGCACGAAAGCGUGGGGAGCAAACAGGAUUAGAUACCCCUGUAGUCCCUGUCUCUUAUAC